rnacentral:rRNA from 1 species
GUAGGUGGCAAGCGUUGUCCGGAAUUAGUGGGCGUAAAGCGCGCGCAGGCGGUCCUUUAAGUCUGAUGUGAAAGCCCACGGCUCAACCGUGGAGGGUCAUUGGAAACUGGGGGACUUGAGUACAGAAGAGGAACGCGGAAUUCCAAGUGUAGCGGUGAAAUGCGUAGAGAUUUGGAGGAACACCAGUGGCGAAGGCGGCUUUCUGGUCUGUAACUGACGCUGAGGCGCGAAAGCGUGGGGAGCAAACAGGGAUUAGAUACCCUGGUAGUCCACGCCGUAAACGAUGAGUGCUAAGUGUUAGGGGGUUUCCCGCCCCUUAGUGCUGCAGCUAACGCAUUAAGCACUCCGCCUGGGGAGUACGGCCGCAAGGCUG